CUUCAAUUUUAUCGCAUUUUCUGAGCUGCAGUUUCUAAGCAAAUGAUUAACUACUACUUUUUAUGAUGAAAUUCCUUUGAUGCUCUUGCAGCAAUCUUUGGUAAGCAGCAAAAGGCACUAACAAGUAACAACUACAUAUACUCGAGGAAUUAUAUAUAUAUAAUUAGCCGCUAAAUUAGAACUCAGUAUCCCCAAUUACUUCG